UAUCAAAAUGUAAAGAAAAAAUAACAGAGACCGGGUUCAAACUGUGGUCGCCAAAAUUGCAGUCCAGUGUUGUAUCCACUGCUAUGAAAGUUUACAUUUGUUUAUUUGAUUUAAUAUAUACCUUGGUUACAAACAUUAAUUGAUAACAUCGACUAGCCAAUCACACAUUAAAACAGUUAAAAAAUUAUUUAUAUUAAAAAUUAAUUAUACUAGGUAUGCCCACCUAGUAAUCUUUUUUAAUGGAAAAAAUGUGAAAAAUGAAUUAAUUGUAAACUAUGUGGUACUUCAGUUAGUUAGUUUCAAUGCAUUGUACACAUUGAUACCAAUUCAUGUCAGUUUUCGACAAUUUUCUCUUCUUUCGCUAUUCCAUCAGACGGUGUAUAGCCCCUGAAUUAAGUUUCACUCUAUUUCAUUGAGUAUAUUUCUUAAAAAUCCUUUUUUUGUUCGAAUCUGUUAAAAGGUCAAAAAGUCACAGUCAUGUGAGCAUCUUUGAGGCCUCUCAGUUAUUAUAACCAAUGCACCAGUCAAUUGUAACCACGCCCCCCCGGUCCGGGGGUAUACUGGGAAUAGUCGGGGAAAUGGGCCGUGUUUUUACUUUCUAUGUGGCCACGCAGGGCCGGGUGACCGCAGUAGUUUUGUCUUUGAGCCAAAUUUAGCCGAGAUUGGGCCUUAUAUAGAGUCUCUGGUGGGCGGGGGCAUUUGGCCGGGGUUUUACCAUCAGUUCGUCCCCGCCGGGGAGGGGGAUUAGACCCAGGGUUGGCUGGACCGAAAGUCAAAGUCCCAGCUAUUCCCCGGACCUGGGGGCGCCGUGGUUACAAUUGACUGGUGCAAAACAUAUAAGAUAUUUAUAAAAUAAAUAAAAGUACAGUUAAUCAAUAUAUCUUAAUUUUAAUGUGGUAAAUUAACAAAGAAUGAGAUAGAUGCUUUAUGCAAAAUCUCACAAAGAUGUAAAAAAAUACUAAAGAGUUCGGGUUUGCUAGUUUGUAAAAAUAUUUCAUGGAAUCAUGGUAAAUUGUUAUAUUAUGUCCAAUGACAGCCCAUAUAUUUUUUAACUACUCGAACCUUUCUUGUUAUAAUUCUUAUUAUUUAUUUUUUUAGUUGAUGUGUGAUGCUGAUAAUACAGAGACAGCUAGAGUGACAGAGUUUGAUGAAUAAACUUAAAUUAAAAAGACAGAAAUAACCACCAUCUCUCUCAGAGGUCAUCUUUCUCAUUAUUGUGGGGAAACCUCAAAGGGCAUCAGGAAAACCUUCAUUAACCUCUUUGUGCCCAGUGGCUUGUGCAACAGUGUUUCAGAUAUUAUCAUUAAAAUGGGGAUAAUGGAUGACUGGCCACACAUAUGGGGCUAUGGACAAGCUUCAGAGCAGGCUGCCAGGUGUUGGUGUUAGUAGUUUAUACUCCGGGUCCCGGCAUGAGCACAUUGAAGGGUCCCAGAGUGACAGUUCAACCACCGCACACCUGUCCUGGGCAGAACCAGUACUAGGUGUCUUCACCUCUGCAAGUAACUGACAACUUCUGUACAUGCCAGGUGCAGUGGUACAGUUCGAAUGGUCGUAGAAAAGAUUUCAUAACCAAUCACAACAGAGGUGACCUGGUCCGCCCGGGAAUCGAACCCGGGUUGUCCAAUUCAGAGUCCAGCACUCUACCGAUUGAGCUGACCGGGCGGACAUAUUAGCUACAUUAGAUGACAAGCCAACUAUGCUGGACAUUCUUCACAAUAAAAUGUGAUGUCACAGGAGCUGUCUAUCUCAACAGCUCACACUGUCCGUAUUUGACUAAAGGAAUGAAUGAAGUCACUGCAGAAGUUAGAUUGAGGAAUGUCCAUGUCACUACCCAUCAUGUGGAAGGAGUUGGAUAAAAAAGUGUGGCCUAUGUAUUGAAACUGCUCCGAUUUCCAGUUACGGACAGUCUUGAUUUGUUUGAUUACAUUUUUGACCAACAUGAUGGUCUAAAUGAACACUUACUGGUAACUGGUAAAAUCAUGGCCCAGAUGUUCCAAGAGGCAGGCGAGUGUGAAGUUACUAGACUCCAUUUCUUUAUAUUAUGGGUUGAUCUGAGGUUCCAGUUCAGUUAAAGUACUGAUGGAACACCAAGUGUUUGCCAUAAUACAGCAACAUUUGAUUUGUAACUAUGUAUUUGUUUGAAUUGUUGAAACAGUACUGUUUACUAAAUAAUGUGUAUGUAUAUGAAGAAUAAUAUUAUAAAUAAUUUGUAAGAACCUUUUGAUAUUAAGUAAAAUGUCGAUAAGUCUAAAUAUGUAUCUGUAAAUCAUUUUUGUAUAUCUGCAUCACAUUGCCUAUAUUCCUCAAUUUAUAUUUUUCUUUUAGCCAGUCAAUAACUUUUCUUAAGUUCUAUCUUCAAAAUUGACGGGACAGGGAUUAUAGCCCUUAAUUAACCCAAAUAUGUAACAUUCAAUGCAAAAUUUCUAAUUGGCUGCAUUUAGGCAGUUCAGAUGCAGGAACAAACAUCACUUGGGUCCUUAAUAAUAGCUUUCCAUCUGACAUAGAAGAUCCAAUAAAAGGAAUUUGCCAUGUGACUGUUUAUUAACUCUCAAUUUAUUGAAAGUGAAAUUACUUACAUGAUUUGUAAGAACUAAGUUAUAAUGAUAUCAAAUGAUUGUUUAAAUAAAAUAAAAUAGAUGAUUACAUACAUGAACUAUUUUUAUUUCUUGUUUGUCAAUAUGAAGAGUAAUGCAAUGGCUUUUGAAUUUCAUAAAAGAAAAGGAUGGAAAAAUGUAUGUUUAUUGUUUAAGCAAUUAAUUAAGUAAUAAAAGCAUUUUUUUUCUCUUUUUUUUCAAAUAGUGCUAUCUUAUAAUACUGAUCGUUAUUUGUUUGAUUUUGGUACAAAUGAAGUAUAUAAGGUAUGUCUAAUGAUACAAAUAGCAAAAAUUCAAAUGCAAAUCAUGGUGACUUGACUAAAUGUGAAUGGUAAUUGAAUCAAAAUAGUUAAUAAAUAAUAAUGUUCAUUUGAAACAAUUGAGAGUAUAAGUUUGGUUUGUGUAUGCCAUAUAU